rnacentral:lncRNA from 1 species
CGGUGAGCCCGGUGCUUCGGGAAGGCUCUCAGGCCGGUGGGAUUGAGCUGAGUGUCCGGCCGUGCCCCUCACCCGUGUCUCGUUUCAGGGGACGAGCAUCACUUCGGGACCCCAGACUCCCUGACGCGGCCCCCUAUAAAAGCGUACAGAUCGCCAGGUGGGACUACAGUUUACUUUGAAGAGAAUACAGUAAAGGAAAAUGCAAAGGUUCAUGAUAGUAACAGAACUGAGAGACCAAUCAUUUCUCCAUCAUUAAAAGAAAUAAAGGCUGACUUCCUUCAGAGAAAUCAGGAGUGCUUCUCGACUUCUACACCACUGAGCAGAAGUAAAUCUCGGUGUCAGUCCAGUACAGAGAAGCAGUCACAGCCUUUGGCCAGAAGUAAGACUUCUGCUUUCACUUCUGUUUCAUGCUUGUGUGACAUUUAACCAUUUUUAUGCCUUUCCAAGUGUUUCAGUUCCUGGGAGUUGGUGUUAAGCUGAAGGUCCUUGCUAGAACAGAUGAUUUGCUUGCUGGGACAUGGCAUCAGCAUGAGGGAAGGAAGGGUGUUGUAUAAUGGAUAACAUUUUCACCUGAAUUUCAGGUCUUUUGUCUGUAAUGUUUACAAGAUUAAGACUGAGGCAGGGCUAGUGGUGGUGUUAUUUAACUGUUGUUGUGUUGCUGUCCUGAUAAAAGUUGAGGUGUAAAAGGGGAACAAGAGGAAUGCAGUUCUUCCUGUUUCCAUUGGUGUAUUUUGUAAAUCAUUUUACUGAGAACAGAAUCCUUUUCUUGCAGUGCAUGAAACAAGUGUUAAUUUACCUGUUCAAAUAUGAAACCAAAUCAAAAUAUCUGACCUUUGAUGGACAUUGUUUGCUGUGUGUACUUUGUGAAGCUCACUGAUCCAAAGGCCACAACGUUCUCUGAUAGUGUUGACCACCAGUGUUUGAGAUGCAAAAAUUGCUGCAGGAACUAUUUUUAUCCUAAGGGAAUAGGAAAGAAAAAUAACACAGGAACCAUUCUGGUGCAGCCAGGUUCUCUGUAGGAUCUUUUCUGCAGGCCAUUAAUAGGGAAGAAGCUUUGACCUUUUUCAGAACCAUUUUAAGCUCUUAGUUUGGAUUUUAUUAAAGUAAAUGGAAUAUUGAUGAACUUAAGAGCUCCUUUUUCAAAAGAAGGUCUAAUUUAGUCUCAGUCAAUGCGGGAAUAUGUAAAAAUGCUCUUUUUAAUGUUGUCACUUCACAAAGUAGCUUGAGUUCAAAACUGUGUUCUCUGUUUUGUGGUUUGUUUUUUUUUUAACUAGAUCAUCUUUUCUAUGCUCUUCAACUACUGUAUCUGUAUUGGGAAUUGAGUGAUUUCACUGUUUCCUCUUAUUUUCCUUUCCUUUCUUAACUAGAUCUUUUCUAUACUCUUCAACUACUGUCCCAGUAUUGAGAAUGGGAUCAUUUCACUGUU